rnacentral:rRNA from 1 species
AACGCGAAGAACCUUACCUGCCCUUGACAUCCGGAUGACCGGCAAGUAAUGUUGCCCUCUCUUCGGAGCAUCCGAGACAGGUGGUGCAUGGUUGUCGUCAGCUCGUGUCGUGAGAUGUUGGGUUAAGUCCCGCAACGAGCGCAACCCUUAUCUUCAGUAGCCAGCAUUCAGGAUGGGCACUCAGGAGAGACUGCCAGGGAUAACCUGGAGGAAGGUGGGGAUGACGUCAAAUCAUCAUGCCCCUUAUGGGCAGGGCUACACACGUGCUACAAUGGCGUAAACAAAGGGAGGCAGAGCCGCGAGGCCGAGCAAAUCUCAAAAAUAACGUCUCAGUUCGGAUUGGAGUCUGCAACUCGACUCCAUGAAGCUGGAAUCGCUAGUAAUCGCGAAUCAGAAUGCCGCGGUGAAUACGUUCCCGGGUCUUGUACACACCG